UACGAACGCUGGCGGCGUGCUUAACACAUGCAAGUCGAACGAUGAAGCCGGAGCUUGCUCUGGUGAAUUAGUGGCGAACGGGUGAGUAACACGUGAGUAACCUGCCCUUGACUCUGGGAUAACUGCGGGAAACUGUAGCUAAUACCGGAUACGACCCUCGGAGGCAUCUCCUGGGGGUGGAAAGAAUUUCGGUCAAGGAUGGACUCGCGGCCUAUCAGCUAGUUGGUGAGGUAAAGGAUCACCAAGGCGACGACGGGUAGGCGGCCUGAGAGGGUGACCGGCCACACUGGGACUGAGACACGGCCCAGACUCCUACGGGAGGCAGCAGUGGGGAAUAUUGCACAAUGGGCGCAAGCCUGAUGCAGCAACGCCGCGUGAGGGAUGACGGCCUUCGGGUUGUAAACCUCUUUUAGUAGGGAAGAAGCGAAAGUGACGGUACCUGCAGAAAAAGCACCGGCUAACUACGUGCCAGCAGCCGCCGUAA
rnacentral:rRNA from 1 species